AUUGAACGCUGGCGGCAGGCCUAACACAUGCAAGUCGAGCGGAUGAGUGGAGCUUGCUCCAUGAUUCAGCGGCGGACGGGUGAGUAAUGCCUAGGAAUCUGCCUGGUAGUGGGGGACAACGUUUCGAAAGGAACGCUAAUACCGCAUACGUCCUACGGGAGAAAGCAGGGGACCUUCGGGCCUUGCGCUAUCAGAUGAGCCUAGGUCGGAUUAGCUAGUUGGUGGGGUAAAGGCCUACCAAGGCGACGAUCCGUAACUGGUCUGAGAGGAUGAUCAGUCACACGGGAACUGAGACACGGUCCAGACUCCUACGGGAGGCAGCAGUGGGGAAUAUUGGACAAUGGGCGAAAGCCUGAUCCAGCCAUGCCGCGUGUGUGAAGAAGGUCUACGGAUUGUAAAGCACUUUAAGUUGGGAGGAAGGGCAGUAAGUUAAUACCUUGCUGUUUUGACGUUACCAACAGAAUAAGCACCGGCUAACUUCGUGCCAGCAGCCGCAGUAACAC
rnacentral:rRNA from 1 species